rnacentral:rRNA from 1 species
CUACGGGGCGCUGCAGUGAGGAAUAUUGCACAAUGGGGGGAACCCUGAUGCAGCAACGCCGCGUGGAGGAUGACGCAUUUCGGUGUGUAAACUCCUUUUAUAUGUCAAGAAAAUGACGGUAGCAUAUGAAUAAGCACCGGCUAACUCCGUGCCAGCAGCCGCGGUAAUACGGAGGGUGCAAGCGUUAUCGGAAUCACUGGGCGUAAGGACGCGUAGGCGGGUUGGAAAGUCAGGUGUGAAAUCCUACAGCUUAACUGUAGAACUGCACUUGAAACUUCUAAUCUAGAGUAUGGGAGGGGGAGAUGGAAUUAGUGGUGUAGGGGUAAAAUCCGUAGAUAUCACUAGGAAUACCUAAAGCGAAGGCGAUCUCCUGGAACAUUACUGACGCUAAGGCGUGAAAGCGUGGGGAGCAAACAGGAUUAAAUACCCGGGUAGUC